UAGAUUUUUAGUUGACCGCCCUCUCAUUUGCGUCUCUUCCUCCUCUUCGAAUAAACCAAACCAAACCAAAUUGGAGCUCAGAAGAUUUUUCUCUCUUUCUCUCAUCUGUCUCUCACUUUUUCUUCUGGCCAGAUCUGUGUGCUUUGGUUGAUGAUUAGAAAUGAAAUGCCCUAUUUCUCUCAAACCCUCGUUUUCUCCCACAGCCCCUCUUUUCCUUUCUCACCGAUCUCAAUGUCACCCACCAAAUUGAGUUUCGAAGAACUUGGUGGCCACUGGGUUGACCUGGAUUGAGGGAUUUUUCUCUUUGGGUAUCUCAAUUUAGUCUCGUCUCUUAUCGAACCUAGUGGGUUUCUCGUGUCGGGCUCAUCCGAGCGGCGUGUGGAAGCAGCAGUAGCUUUAAAUUCUACAGGUACAGAUGAUGCAACCGUGGCCUCCAUUCUCUCGAAGAAGCAGAAGCAAAAGCAGAAGCAGAAAACCACCAGGCUCUCCGACCUCCGAACCUCCAGAACCCACAUCAACAACCUUCCUAAGCUCCUCUCCUACGUCACACCAACCUCGUUGCCUCAGUACGUCGUCGAAUCAAACUACCGAUUACACCCAUCGAUCGUCAUCUCACCUACAUCUACCCAAAACUCAAUCACUUUCUCACCCAUCCUUGCUGAGAACAGAGAAGUCAGACAUGGCCACGGGAUAGAAGCCAUUGAUAUUCUCAUCUCCAUUCUAGUAUCAAAAAUCAAAGGUUUGGGCUUUGGAGUCUAGAUUGGGAUCAGUUCACCGCUACGGUAUGGAAUUGAGGAAAGAUGAGGAGUGGAGCUGGAUUUUGAUCGAAAAACUCUGGCAAGUGAAAGGUUGGAGUUGUGCAGUACGUUAGGUGAAUGAGAGAGAUUUUGGGUGAAGGCUCCUUGAUCAAAUUCAGCCUUUCUAAUGUACGUUGCUGCUACAAUUUCUCUAGUGUUAGCUUUGGUUCUGCAUUUUGAACCUCGCUAUGGGGCUAACAAACAACUAGUCUACUUGGGAAUCUGUUCUUUGAUGGAUUGACUUGCGCAGAUUCUUCAAACUCUCGAGUGGGCAAUUGGUGUUGAGUCUGAAAUUGUUUAGCAAACCAGAAUUUCCAUGCUUCACAUUAAAUUCUAAUUGAGAUUAAGAGAGUACCUAAACACAACAGUGCACACGCAGUGUUAAGCAUAUAGUCUUGUACAGGGUUGUUUACUUUUAUGUAUGUUUGAGCAUAGAUAAUCUCUUUUUUCUUUUGUUUUUCCUUCUGAUCAUCCGUUUUCAAUGAUAGUUUUUUUUUUUUUUGUUAUUUUGUUUGUCUUAGAACUCACAACUUCAUGACCAAGAGCUGGAUUUUAGUGUCCUGAUUAAAUAACACGUUGGUUUUUGAAGCUUGUGGUUUUCUGGUAUCUUGUGUUGUUGUCCUUUGCUAACACUAUGCAAUAUUAGUUGUCGGAGAGAGAUAUUGAACGCACAAGCCUAUUUUCGUCACACCGUAUGCAACAUCCUAAUCUGCUGUAGAUUACUUAAUUCUAAUGCUAAAUGUUCUAUCUUACAUUCUCUUUUUAUUAAUGAUUUGCAUAUCUAUUACCUGGUUUGAAGGAAGGGCGUGAGAAAAUGUCAAAGAAGAUUCCCGAUUCUGCCAUAUUCAUGAUGAGCUUGAGCAGAAGCAGAAGUAUGCGGCUUGGAAAGCAGCAGAUAUAAGGAAAGCUGUGAAAGAAGGAAGGAAACCUCAGGCUGGCCCCCCUGCUGGUGAUGAUGAUCUUUCAGUUCCCUCGAGUACAACUAGUGGUUCAUAUGAAAGAAUACAACUUGAGACAUCAAGGCUGUAUCGGCAGGCUGAGGUUAAUCCAAUUGCAGCUUGUUUACCAACUCUGGCCACAAUACCAAUCUGGAUAGGUCUAUACCAAACUCUUUCGAAUGUGGCAAAUGAGAUAGCAUUGGAGGGCAGAACUUCAAGUUGCAAUGAGUUAAAGGUUGUCACUUUUGGUAGUCGAAAAUACAAGAAAGCUAAGAUGCUAAAGAAUUUGUUCAAGAAAUUGUCCAACCAUCAAUGUAGAUUUUAUAAGAGGCCUGUUUUAGAACAACUUGUAUUUGUAUCAGCUUUUGUUGUCCCAAGUAGAUGGGCAUCCAUUGAAUGCUUUUCUUCUUUCAAUGUUGGCUUGGAUGAUUGGGAAAUCCUCCAUUUUAAAGUUUGAAUGCUUUUCUUCAAAUAGUAUGAGUUGGAUUACUCAUUUCAUAGA